UACGGAGGGUGCGAGCGUUAAUCGGAAUUACUGGGCGUAAAGCGCAUGUAGGCGGUUUGAUCAGUCGGAUGUGAAAUCCCCGGGCUUAACUUGGGAACUGCAUUCGAUACUGUCAGGCUAGAGUAGGCUAGAGGAAAGGGGAAUUCCGCGUGUAGCAGUGAAAUGCGUAGAUAUGCGGAGGAACACCAAUGGCGAAGGCACCUUUCUGGGGUCAUACUGACGCUGAGAUGCGAAAGCGGAGGGAGCAAACAGGAGUCGAUAACACGGUAGUUC
rnacentral:rRNA from 1 species